GAUGAACGCUGGCGGCGCGCCUAACACAUGCAAGUCGAACGAGUGGCGAACGGGUGAGUAACAAGUGACCAACCCGCCCCCCCCACCGGGACAACCUCGGGAAACCGAGGCUAAUACCGGAUAGGAGGGGACGGGGUCGCGGCCCAUCAGGUAGACGGCGGGGCGAAGGCCCGCCGUGCCGACGACGGGUAGCCGGGCUGAGAGGCCGAUCGGCCACAGUGGGACUGAGACACGGCCCAGACUCCUACGGGAGGCAGCAGUGGGGAAUAUUGCGCAAUGGGGGGAACCCUGACGCAGCGACGCCGCGUGCGGGAAGGAGGCCUUCGGGUUGUAAAGCUCUGUUAAUCGGGACGGCGAACAGUUAGAAGGAUUGACGGUACCGGAAUAGAAAGCCACGGCUAACUACGUGCCAGCAGCCGCGGUAAUAC
rnacentral:rRNA from 1 species